rnacentral:rRNA from 1 species
UACGUAGGCAGCGAGCGUUGUUCGGAAUUACUGGGCGUAAAGAGUGUGUAGGCGGUGCUCUAAGUCUGUCGUGAAAUCUCCCGGCUUAACUGGGAGGGUGCGGCGGAAACUGGUGUGCUCGAGGGUGGGAGAGGUAAGCGGAAUUCCUGGUGUAGCGGUGAAAUGCGUAGAUAUCAGGAGGAACACCUGCGGUGUAGACAGCUUACUGGACCACAACUGACGCUGAGACGCGAAAGCGUGGGGGAGCAAACAGG